rnacentral:rRNA from 1 species
UAGGGAAUCUUCGGCAAUGGGGGCAACCCUGACCGAGCAACGCCGCGUGAGUGAAGAAGGUUUUCGGAUCGUAAAGCUCUGUUGUAAGAGAAGAACGUGUGUGAGAGUGGAAAGUUCACACAGUGACGGUAACUUACCAGAAGGGGACGGCUAACUACGUGCCAU